GGGGAUUUGGCUCAGUGGUAGAGCGCUUGCCUAGCAAGCACAAGGCCAUGGGUUCAGUCCCCA
rnacentral:tRNA from 1 species